rnacentral:lncRNA from 1 species
GUCAUGGUAUUGUCCUCGAUUUAGAAAUGUUAAUAGUCUCAUUAGAGCCGUUUAAUUAGUUCUUGUCCAGACUGGCGCCUUCUCCAAUUUCCCAAACUAUAGAGCCAUAAAAUGGCAUCAUAUGCCUUACAUGUGAAAAAGUCUAUUUAUUAUUUAUAUUCAUGAUAUCGCAUUACUAAAAUCAGACUUGAAAAUAUAUAUAACACGUUGAUUGGCUUACUCAUGGGUGUAAAUUUGAUCAUGUUAUAAUUCCAAACAAAAUCUUUAUGUACAUAUAUGCCUACCUUGAUUCCUAUCUCAUAAUAUCUUCAAUUUGAAUUCCCGAGGACGUGAACAAAUACUUGUUGAAGUUGAUGCAUUUAGAGAAAAUAUGUCAUCCCUAGGACUAUUGUUAGGAAAACUCUUAAAAUAAUUGUAACUUAUGUAGAUUAUUUGUGUAGAAAUUUUAUCAAUAUUUUUACCCAUAAGCAGCA